UGGGGAAUAUUGGACAAUGGGGGCAACCCUGAUCCAGCCAUGCCGCGUGAGUGAUGAAGGCCCUAGGGUUGUAAAGCUCUUUCAGCGAGGAGGAUAAUGACGUUACUCGCAGAAGAAGCCCCGGCUAACUUCGUGCCAGCAGCCGCGGUAAUACGAAGGGGGCUAGCGUUGUUCGGAAUCACUGGGCGUAAAGCGCACGUAGGCGGAUUGAUAAGUUAGGGGUGAAAUCCCGGGGCUCAACCUCGGAACUGCCUUUGAUACUGUCAGUCUUGAGUCCGAGAGAGGUGAGUGGAACUCCGAGUGUAGAGGUGAAAUUCGUAGAUAUUCGGAAGAACACCAGUGGCGAAGGCGGCUCACUGGCUCGGUACUGACGCUGAGGUGCGAAAGCGUGGGGAGCAAACAGGAUUAGAUACCCCCGUAGUCC
rnacentral:rRNA from 1 species